rnacentral:rRNA from 1 species
AUGAGGCUACUUCUGUGUUUGUGCAUCUGUUUUGUCCUCCUCCUCGCCGGCUCCUCCCCCGACUCCCACUCCGAGCGCUGCCCCCUGCAGCACCGCCGGCAGCUCCAGGACGUCGUCGUCAGGCUUCAGGCGACAGCGGCGGCGAGCACCGCGGCUGCAGCUCGGCCACGGCAAGAAGGGAUCGCCGAUCCGGUCUAUGGGACCUCCAAGAGGCUCAGUCCGGGGGGAUCCAACCCUCAGCACCACCGCUGA